UGGGGAAUUUUGCACAAUGGGGGAAACCCUGAUGCAGCGACGCCGCGUGAUUUAGAAGGCCUUCGGGUUGUAAAAAUCUUUUCUAUGGGAAGAAAAUGACAGUACCAUAGGAAUAAGGACCGGCGAAUUACGUGCCAGCAGCCGCGGUAAUACGUAAGGUCCGAGCGUUGUCCGGAAUCAUUGGGCGUAAAGGGUACGUAGGCGGGUAAGCAAGUUAGAAGUGAAAUCCUAUAGCUCAACUAUAGUAAGCUUUUAAAACUGCUCAUCUUGAGGUAUGGAAGGGAAAGUGGAAUUCCUAGUGUAGCGGUGAAAUGCGCCGUUAUUAGGAGGAAUACCGGUUGCGAUGACGACUUUCUGUCCAUAACCUAACGCUGAGGUACGUAAGCGUGGGUAGCAAACAGG
rnacentral:rRNA from 1 species